UUCUCCGCGAGGCAGGUUAAGUACGCGACGUCCUGUCGCAACACCUGCACUAGCACGUCCUGUGCG
rnacentral:sRNA from 1 species